AAAAAAUGAGUUAUGUACUGUAGUUGGAUGUCUGAUGGAUAUUUCCUCCACUGAAGGAAGCGUAUCUUGCCAAGGUAUAUAAAGAGUGGCUCUCCCUGUAGACAUCUAAAUAGAGACAAGUAAAUACUGGAGAUGAAAAGGCUCAGCUGGUCCAUGAAAAUUCCACAGAGGGAGGAGAGAAACAAUAUUGCAUUGUUUGCACAGAGCUGUUCACAAAUGUUGUAUCAUGGGGUCAGAAUCACAUGCUGGGUAAACUUUGAGGAAGCCUCCACCCCCUCACCAGAGAUUCCAUAGGAUAUGAAAAGGCUCAACGACUCUCCUGUUACUUCCAUCUAUGUUUCUCAUCAAAACUAGCUCUCAGGUCAUUAGCCAGAGAAGGAGUAAAUGCCCUAUGGAUUUAACAUACAGAAGAUGCCUGCUUUCACGCCUCAUCUCUUCCACCUCAAGAGAAAUCUUCAAGCUAAAAGAAAGAAGAAAAAAAAAGAAAUUCCUUAAACCAAACUUCAGGUUCAAUGUACUUAUUCAGAAA